AUUGAACGCUGGCGGCAGGCCUAACACAUGCAAGUCGAACGGUAGCACAGAGAGCUUGCUCUCGGGUGACGAGUGGCGGACGGGUGAGUAAUGUCUGGGAAACUGCCCGAUGGAGGGGGGUAACUACUGGAAACGGUAGCUAAUACCGCAUAACGUCUUCGGACCAAAGUGGUGGACCUUCGGGCCUCACACCAUCGGAUGUGCCCAGAUGGGAUUAGCUAGUAGGUGGGGUAAUGGCUCACCUAGGCGACGAUCCCUAGCUGGUCUGAGAGGAUGACCAGCCACACUGGAACUGAGACACGGUCCAGACUCCUACGGGAGGCAGCAGUGGGGAAUAUUGCACAAUGGGCGCAAGCCUGAUGCAGCCAUGCCGCGUGUAUGAAGAAGGCCUUCGGGUUGUAAAGUACUUUCAGCGGGGAGGAAGGCGGUGGAGUUAAUAGCUUCAUCGAUUGACGUUACCCGCAGAAGAAGCACCGGCUAACUCCGUGACAGCAGCCGCCGUAA
rnacentral:rRNA from 1 species